rnacentral:tRNA from 1 species
GCCGGCAUAGCUCAAAUGGGAGAGACUGGGGUUGCACCUGGGGAUGCAGGUUCAAGUCCUGCUGUUGGCG